AGCAUAUCAAUAAGCGGAGGAAAAGAAACCAACAGGGAUUGCCUCAGUAACGGCGAGUGAAGCGGCAACAGCUCAAAUUUGAAAUCUGGCCCUUGGGUCCGAAUUGUAAUUUGCAGAGGAUGCUUUUGGCGAGGUGCCUUCCGAGUUCCCUGGAACGGGACGCCACAGAGGGUGAGAGCCCCGUCCGGAUGUGCCACCAAGCCUCUGUAAAGCUCCUUCGACGAGUCGAGUAGUUUGGGAAUGCUGCUCUAAAUGGGAGGUGUAUGUCUUCUAAAGCUAAAUACCGGCCAGAGACCGAUAGCGCACAAGUAGAGUGAUCGAAAGAUGAAAAGUAUUCUGAAGAGAGAGUUAAAUAGCACGUGAAAUUGUUGAAGGGGAAGCGUUUAUGACCAGACUUGGGGCCGGCCGAUCAUCCAGGGUUCUCUCUGGUGCACUCGGCCGAUCUUAGGCCAGCAUCAGUUUGCGCCGGGGGAUAAAGGCUUCGGGAACGUAGCUCCUCUCGGGGAGUGUUAUAGACCGUUGCGUAAUACCCUGGUGCGGACUGAGGAACGCGCUUCGGCACGGAUGCUGGCGUAAUGGUCAUCAACGACCCGUCU
rnacentral:rRNA from 1 species